UACGUAGGGUGCAAGCGUUGUCCGGAUUUAUUGGGCGUAAAGAGCUCGUAGGCGGUUUGUCGCGUCGGAUGUGAAAACCCAGGGCUCAACCCUGGGCCUGCAUUCGAUACGGGCAGACUAGAGUAUGGCAGGGGAGACUGGAAUUCCUGGUGUAGCGGUGAAAUGCGCAGAUAUCAGGAGGAACACCGGUGGCGAAGGCGGGUCUCUGGGCCAAAACUGACGCUGAGGAGCGACAGCGUGGGGAGCAAACAGG
rnacentral:rRNA from 1 species